rnacentral:lncRNA from 1 species
AGUGGAACUAGUGUUCAUCCCAGCACCAGGAGCAGGCCACCUUGUACCAACGCUGCAAUUCGCAAAGCGUUUGAUCGAUCGCAACGACAGAAUUUCGAUCACCAUUCUUGCCAUCCAGUCAUUCUACCCAACCACUCUAAGUUCAUACACAAAAUCGAUUGCAGCCUCAGAACCCCGAAUCCGAUUCAUUGAUGUCCCACAACCUCAAUAUCGACCUCCGCAAGAGAUGUACAAGUCACGAGCAAAGAUCUUCUCUCUUUACAUUGAGAGUCACGUCCCCAGUGUCAAGAAAAUCAUCACCAACCUCGUCUCCUCUAGUGCUAAUAGUUCAGAUUCGAUUCGUGUUGCUGCUUUGGUAGUUGAUUUAUUCUGUGUGUCCAUGAUUGAUGUGGCCAAAGAACUCAAUAUUCCUUCUUAUCUUUUCCUGACAAGCAAUACAGGAUAUCUAGCUUUCAUGCUCAACCUUCCAAUUCUUCAUGAAAAAAACCAGAUUGCUGAAGAAUCCGAUCCCGAUUGGUCAAUCCCAGGUAUGUUUCUGACAAUCACAAGUGUUUUUUAAUGCGUUUAACAUGAAAAGUUACAAGUGUUUCUAAGUCAUAAAGACUCUUUCUGGAGAAGCACAUGCAAGUGGUUUCUUCACGAAGCAUUUCAAGUCAUUUUUCAGGAAGCAAUUGACUUUUUAAUAAACAAAAAUCAGCAUGUCAUAUGAAAUCAUUUCUAGCAUAGAUGUUUAGAGUAAAAGUGCUUUCUGCAAAAUGAAAUUUCACUGUAUCAAACGAGUACAAUGCUAUCUCCACCGAAAAAGACCAACAUGUCCAAUGUUUAAAGAUGCGCCCCCUUAGACUUCAUUGCAGUUGAAAAGUUGUGAUUUCUUGGAGUUUGAUUCUUACACUGAAAAUUUUCGACACUUAGGUAUUGUCCACCCGGUUCCUCCUAGAGUUUUGCCUGUGGCCUUGACAGACGGUAGCUGCUCCGCUUACAUCAAGUUGGCUUCAAGAUUUAGAGAGACUAGAGGCAUUAUAGUAAACACAUUUGUAGAGUUAGAGACACACGCUAUCACAUUGUUUUCCAAUGACGACCGAGUCCCUUCACUGUACCCAGUCGGGCCAGUGAUCGACCUGGAUGACGGUCAGGCACAUUCCAACCUAGACCAGGCACAGCGCGACAAGAUCAUCAAAUGGCUUGAUGACCAGCCUCAGAAAUCUGUUGUGUUUUUGUGUUUUGGUAGCAUGGGAAGCUUUGGGGCAGAGCAAGUGAAGGAAAUAGCUUUAGGGCUUGAACAAAGUGGGCAGAGGUUUUUAUGGUCCCUGCGCAUGCCGUCCCCCAAAGGCACCGUCCCAAGUGAUUGCUCAAAUCUUGAAGAAGUUUUGCCAGAUGGGUUCUUGGAGAGGACCAAUGGGAAGAAAGGGUUGAUAUGUGGGUGGGCCCCACAGGUGGAGGUCCUGACCCACAGUGCAACCGGAGGGUUCUUGUCGCACUGCGGGUGGAACUCGAUCUUGGAGAGCUUGUGGCAUGGCGUCCCUAUUGCGACGUGGCCCAUGUAUGCAGAGCAGCAGCUCAAUGCUUUCUGGAUGGUGAGGGAGUUGGGGAUGGCGUUGGAGAUGAGGCUGGAUUACAAGACAGGCAGCGCUGACGUGGUGGGGGCGGACGAGAUUGAGAGGGCUGUGGUUGGUGUGAUGGAGAAGGAUAGUGAGGUGAGGAAGAAGGUGGAAGAGAUGGGAAAGAUGGCUAGAAAAGCUGUGAAGGAUGGAGGGUCUUCAUUUGCUUCUGUUGGGAGAUUUAUUGAGGAUGUGAUUGGUGAGAAUUAGGGUUUUAAGUAGUGGUUGUUAAUUUUUUAAGUUUAAGAACUCAUGAAUGUACUAAUUUUUCCUUGUUCUUGUAUGUUGAUUGAUGCGAUGAAAGUUAAGCACGCACAUUAAACCCUAUUUUGACAAUUGUAGUAUAUGUAUAAGUACGGAUUAUUCUGGACCGGGGAUUAGGAGGGAUUGCUAAUCUAAACUAAACUGACUUACAAAAAGAAACUUAAAAACACUUAACUAGACUCUAUAGACUCAAAACACUUAAAAACACAAACUAAAACAAAUUCUAACUAAUUAGACACACUAAAGUAAAGGGGAAUUGAGUUUUGGACGAAUUUGAAAUAAACAAGCAAGUUAUAAAACUAGGCAGAUUCUAAAAUGAAUUUGAGAAAUAAAAUGAUGGAUGAAUUAGUUAGAGGUCCAUUCUUCACACAUGACACUCUUGUACAUGAAUCGAUUUCCAAUUGCUUUUUAAUAAACUAUUAUGCUGAACACCCCAGAUUAACCGUGAUGCACAAAUUAACCAUCAGAUUUUCAUUUACUCAUUGAAUUGGAUGAAUGCAUGCGACAACCUAAAUCAUUAUCUAAAAGUCCCCUAUAUGAAUGCAUAAUAGAGAUACAAUCAGAGAUCAUUACGUUCAAUGAAAAUCAUAAGUGUUGACGAGGCAAUUAUAACUAUGAAUGCAUGAUACAAUUGCCAAGAAUUCAAUUAACGUGAUUGUGAUAAACAACCUUUACUACUCAUGAAUAUAAACUUGUAACGAUUAGGUGAAACUCAUUUAUAUUCUAGCAUCUAAUUCAUGCAUGAAAAUUAAGUAUGCAUCCUUAAUAAACAUACAAGAAUCAGUUAUGAAUAAAAUAGAUAAUUGAAUUGCAAUCACAACUUAUCAAAUCACAAUUGGAAGAAAUCAAUUCAUAUCUCAAGCAUGUUCAUGGCUUCAAACUUCCCCCUAACUAAAUGGGGGUUUAGCCACUCAUAAUUGCAACAAAAUCAGAAAAUGAAUUUAACAUUGAAAACAAAAGAAAGAAAACACUUAAACGCUCAAACGAUUCAAGUUGACAGCACGCACGUCCAAGCAUUUUCUUUUCCUUCCUUUACUACGGCACAAGGUGUUGGUAAAUGUUUGAAGGUUUGUUUGUAUGGAGGAAUGGAUGUAAAUAUGAAUGGAUGUGUUUGGAUGAAGGUUGUAUUGAAAUGGGAGUGAAUGAUCUAAAAAAAUAUAUGAACUAAAUUUAUGUUACACACACACUUCCUUUUAUAGAGGAAGUGCAAGACAAUGGAGGGGGACAUAGAGUGGUGUUGAAAUGAUUCAAAGGUGAAAGUGAAGUAAUGAUGCAAAGGUGAAAGUGAAAGUGAAGUAAUGAUGCAAAACAUGGGUAAAAUGGAGUGGUGUUGAAAUGAUUCAAAGGUGAAAGUGAAAGUGAAGUGGUGUUGAAAUGAUUCAAAGGUGAAAGUGAAGUAAUGAUGCAAAGGAUGAGGGGUAAAAUGGAGUGGUGUUGAAAUGAUUCAAAGGUGAAAGUGAAGUAAUGAUGCAAAGCAUGAGGGGUAAAAUGGAGUGGUGUUGCAACAAUGAAUGCAAGUAGGGAACAUGAAUGAUUGUGCACAUGGUAGAGAAAGGAAAGAGAGGUGGAAUGGUGUAGAAAUGAGUCAAGGGUUAAGGUGGAUUGAUGAUUGAUGCAAGAAAUUUGGAAUGAUGGAGGGAACAAGGGUGGUGCUCGGCAAUGAGUGAAUGAAAUAGACAAGGAAUGUUGUUGGAACUUAGGGACAUUGAGGAUUAGGAAAGAUUAGAUCAAAAUAAGGUAAUCUUGACUCAUGUUUCUUCUUUGGUUGCUGAGCUCUUUGUCAUUAAUUAUUCUUUAUUUUUAACACAUUUCAAGCCUCUUUAUUCUUCAAUUUCGUCCAUCCACCUUGCUCCAUGCAUGUGCUAUCCAUUCCAAGCCCAAAACUGCUCCAAAAUGCAGCAAAAUUGUACCUUAUUGCUUUAUAAGGCCUAUGGACCUACAAACACACGAAAAUAACUUAAAAUACAUAAUUAACUAAGAAAUAACAACAUAAAUGAAUGAGAACAAGCUAACUCAGUUGCAUAAAUAUGCUCCUAUCAUUGAUUAUGAAUUUAUCAGCUUGUAAUUUAUAUGUUUUAGUUCUACAAUGAUAAAUCAAACAAAACGAUUUUGUAAAUUUGUUAGGAAAGAGGGUUUUGGAGUUUGUGACAUUGAGCCCCCACGUUGUCGGAUGAGAUUUAAGUUCAAAUCUCGCGGAUGAAAGUAGUUGAAUAACAUUGCUUACAGAAAACGGGAUUUUGUAAAUUCAUCUUCAUACCCUGCUUCUUUGUGUAAACAUGUAUCAAGCCACCAAGACAAUUGCUCUCAAUUGAGCACAGGCUGCCAGAGUACUAACUAGAGUGACUUCGUCAGGUUUCGGGCUCUUCCUUUUCUGCAAGUCAUGAAAAUCGCCAAAGCCUCCUUUGGCUUGUCACUUUGUUCAUAAGACGAAAUGAGGACAUUCCAUGCAGCAAUGUCUUGACCAGGCAUUGCAGCGAAAACCCACCAAGCCUCAUCAUAAUUUCCUGACUGAACAUACCCAUCAAGCAUUGUAGUCCACGAGAAAAUAUCCUUCUCCGACAUCCUAUCAAACAAUCUUUUCGCUUCCUCAAUGCUCCCACAUUUCACACACAUAUCAAGCAUAGCAUAGCAUUGUUCAAAGUCAAGUUCUCUCCAUUUUCAUUCCUUUCAAUACAAGAACAAACCCACCUCCCAAACUCCAAAUCCACCUUCUUUGCGCAAGCUGACAACACACUCACCAUCAUUCGGCUUCACAUUCUCCUCAUCCAUCUCCUUAAACAACUCCAAGGCUUCCUCUGGACAGUUCCUCUGCGCAAAAGCCGUGAUCAUAGAAUUCCAAGACACAACAUCUUUCUUAGUAGUCUUCACGAAGACCCACCAUGCGAAAUCCAAAUCCUCGCAUGACCCAUAGAAAUGAACCAGAGAAUUGAGAAUAUCAACAUCCGAACCAAGCGAGGCCUUUAUCACCAUGCCAUGAAACCCUCUUCUGAGCUUCAAAACUCGGAGCUCUGAAGCCGCCUUGAUCACAAACGGGUAAGUAAACUUAUUGGGACUUUCCACACAGCAAUAAAGCAUUUCCAGAAGUACAAGGAUGCUUUCAGUCGGGUCGGUGCUCGACGCAUAAGCGAGUAUGAGGGUAUUCCAAGAUAAGAGAUUUGGUUGAGGAAUUUGAUCGAACACUUGGCAUGCAUAGCGAGGCUGGAGCUGGAGAAGAGGGCACAGGUGGUGAUAAGCUUGCUGGUGGAGUAAGGGUCGGAGAGAAGGCCUGUACAGAGCAUUUGGACGUGGACUUGCUUCAGCUGCUUGAAGCUGGUGCAGUGGUCGAUUGAGGAAAGAGGUGGGUCGCUUGAGAAAUGAAGGUCGUUAGUGGCGGUUGGGGAUGGAAGGUUUGGUAGGUGACGUGGCAGAGAGAUAAGGUGGGUGCUUAGAGUUGCCAUCUCUUCUAUAGUCACUCAAGCUCGUGGUUUUUUAAGAGCAACUCCAGCGUGAGAGCUAUUUCCAGGCUAUUCACUAUUUAAUCCAUCUAAUCAAUAGUAAUUACCCUUAAUAAAUAGUAAUUACCUUAGCAAUUGUUUUUUGCAUCUCCACCCCUGCACUGAAUAACCUUGGCAAUUGGCAAUAAAAUAUUAAUAUAUUUUUUUUAAAUUAAUAUUAUAUUAUUAAUUUAUAUUUUCUUUUUGGUCUUCCCGAAACUUCUACCAUUUAUCUUUCGUCUUCCUUCCCACUCUCUCACUCCCCUCCCUUCUCUCCUCUACGCCCACCUAACCCUCUUCGAUCCCCUGCACAUCCAACAUUCCCCUCCUUCUUCGAUUCCACUCUUCUUUCCCCUGAUCCUUCCCUACCCUACCCACCUCUAGCUCACCACCAUACCCUAACCCCACCCAUUUGACGGCCGGUGGUCAACAAAACCCAGAUUUACGGCCAGAGAGUCGGUUUGACGGCGGUGGAGAACAAAACCCAAUGGUCGGAGAAGACGGUGGUGGGGAGCACAAACCAAGCGGCCAAAUCAAUUUUUUAAUAUUUUCAAUUUUUCUUUAAAUUUUUGCGUUGAAUAUGGCCUCUGUUAUGGAAUAUUUGGUCUGAUUUGGAUUUUUUUCUACAUUUAUUGUGGAUUCGGAUCCCAUAUGCCAUCAGUCUCGGCGACGAACUUCGGCGAGAGCUGUUAAGUUUGAAGCCAGAGUUUUACAUUUUUUUAAUUUUUUAUUAAUUUUUUUUAUAUUUUUAUUAAUUUUAUAUUAUGGAUGACGUCGUCCUGACGUCAGCCCACGUCACAUGGCCCUCAGGCUCUCGGGCUGGCAAUCCUUGCUGGGCAUGUUGCUCGGGCCUCGCCUGUCCCUUGGGCUCCCAUACGCUAGACCCUAUCCCCCCAGCAAUUUGGCCCUGUUUGCUGGCUUGUCCCUCGAGUAACCUCCCCCGUUGGAAUUGCUCUAAUUGCUCGAAGGAGGUUGUAGCUUGUGAGAACGCUCCUUAAGUUUUUUGAGGAGGAUUGACCUCAUGGAAUAAGGAUUCUCUCUGGAUCCUCAAAUCGUGUUCGUACAUCGUAUAUUAUGUGGUCAAUUUUUAUCAAGUACUAUUCAUAUUUAAUUUUAAAUAAAAGUAUUUAAAAUAAUUUAUACGAUGAAUAGACACGAUUUGAAGAUCUCUAAGAUCCUCACGAAGAAAAUCCAGAGAGAAUCCUCAUUCUUUAGACUUAACCAAUGAACCUAUUUAAAGUGACUCAUUUUGUACUAGAGAAGCAUGUGCAUGAACAAUGGAUUCAUUUUACCUUCUUAGGUGGGGAAGUUCUAGAAACAUUUCCAUACUUUGUGCUUGAAGUAUUUCACUUAAUUUUCUCUACAGUAUUGAACUUUGGCGAUAUUUAUUAUGUACUUUUAGGACCCGAGUCUCCAUUAUUUGAUUAUUCACUUAAUCUUGUUAGUUAUAGGUGCUUUUCUUCUAGUAUUCAAGACUCUAAGAACACAUCUCUUCUUGUGGAUACACAUAAUAUUUUGAGUUUAGUGAAUAUAAGAUUCGAGUGAAUGGAAAAGAAAAAACAAAAGAUCAAUUCCACUUUGAAGAAACACAAUAUAAAAAUAGACUUGUUUAUAAAAUUUAUUAUAUAGAUGAGAAUCAAGAACAAGAAAAUUCAAAGUCAAAACUAUUUAAAAAAAAGAUAUUUUUUCGUUCGAAAAACGUAUUGUGAUUAUUUUUUUUUUUACAAUAAUCGUUAAAAUCGCCCAUUACGAUAUAUAGAAAACAAUCGAUUUGAAAAGUUUGAAAAUUUUGAAAUGUCACAAAUUUUUUUUAGUAUGUCAAAGUGAUGGAAAAGAAAGAAUAUCUUUUACAUAUCCACCAAGUUUCUAUUUUUGAAAUGAUACAAAGAGAUGUCUCUGUUCACAAAAGAAGUGUUCCCCUUUUAAUGAAUUUUUAUAAGGGUAAUGCAAUGACGUGUCACCAAUAGAAAGUGACAAUAGAAAGUAAACACAUUAAUCAAUACUUAAGUAAUAAUUCAAUCAUCAACAACUACAUCAUUGUAUUUAUAAAAUUUAAUUUAAAAUUUUAAUCUCUCUAGUAUUACUCUUUUUAUAAUCACUAAAGUUGCAAUAUCCUACGUGAUAAUUUCAAAUGAUCAGUAGGCGGUAAUGCAAUAUCCUACAAAAUAAUUGUGGUUAGGUACCAUCUAGCCAGAAAACUGAACUUUUAUGUGUUUUUUGUGUGGCUAGUUUUUCUGUUCUUGUUGGUUGCUGCCAUGGUCUUUUGACUCUUUUCGCAUCUAUCACUACAAGAAAAACUGGGACGUGAACUGGUGGGCUUAUAUUCAUUGUGGUGGGUUGAGUAUAUUGGUUUUACAAGCAAUGUUAUACUUACCACAUUUAUAUUACAUUUUUCAUGGUAGUAGGACCAACUAAUACAUGUGAGCCUUAUUUUUAUUAAAAAUAAUACAAAUAUGAUAUGAUAAAAAUAACAUUUUUUUAGUUUUAUUUGAGUGUGGGGGCAUGUACCCAGUCUUGCCUUAUAGCUAGGAGAGGUAUUUUAGUGUGUCAAAAACAAACGUUGCACUAAGUGUAAUAAUAUAACUAAUCGAAUUUCUUAUUUUAAAGUUCUAACCAAUUGUAUUAUAAAAAUGAGUGUAGCCGUGUUGCUGGUAUUGAAAAAAUUCUCCCAGCGGCAAAAUAGACAGAGUACUUAAGCAAUGAUGUAGGGGAGGGCCAUAUAAUGUAUUAGUUUAAUAUAUGCAAUCAAAUCCUUUUGCCGUACACUUUUUCCGCAUUUUGCAGUUUAAUACGUAGUUCAAAUCAAGCAUUUGUAUCUAAUAGAAGAAGAACAUCACUAUAUUUAUGUGUGGUUGAUGUGCAAAGAAAGUAGUAAGUAGAAACCAGAAAGAGUGAAAGAACAACCGAGAAAGAUGAAGAAAGUGGAACUCGUGUUCAUCCCAUCACCAGGAGCAGGCCACCUUGUACCAACGUUGCAAUUCGCAAAGCGUUUGAUCGAUCGCAACGACAGAAUUUCGAUCACCAUUCUUGCCAUCCAGUCAUCCUUCCCAACCACUCUAAGUUCCUACACAAAAUCGAUUGCAACCUCAGAACCCCGAAUCCGAUUCAUUGAUGUCCCACAACCUCAAGAUCGACCUCCGCAAGAGAUGUACAAGUCACGAGCAAAGUUCUUCUCUCUUUACAUUGAGAGUCACGUCCCCAGUGUCAAGAAAAUCAUCACCAACCUCGUCUCCUCUAGUUCUAAUAGUUCAGAUUCGAUUCGUGUUUCUGCUUUGGUAGUUGAUUUCUUCUGUGUGUCCAUGAUUGAUGUGGCCAAAGAACUCAAUAUUCCUUCUUAUCUUUUCCUGACAAGCAAUGCAGGAUAUCUAGCUUUCAUGCUCCACCUUCCAAUUCUUCAUGAAAAAAACCAGAUUGCUGUUGAAGAAUCCGAUCCUGAAUGGUCAAUCCCAGGUAUGUUUGUGACAAUCACAAGUUCUUUUGGAUGCGUUUAACAUAAUUUUUUUAAGUGUUUCUGAGUCAUAAAAGCUCUUUCUAGAGAAGCACAUGCAAGUGGUUUCUUCACAAAGCAUUUCAAGUCCCUUUUGAGGAAGCAAUUGACUUUAUAAUAAACAAAAAUCAACGUGUCAUAUGAAAUCAUUUCUAGCAUAGGUGCUUACGAGUAAAAGUGCUUUGCAGAAGAAAUUUCACUGUAUCAAACGAGUACAAUGCUAUCUCCCCCCAAAAAGACAAACAUGUCCAAUGUUUAAAGACGCGUUGUAACAACAUAUUUUUAGAUUUCAUUGCAGUUGAAAAGUUUCGAUUUCUUGGAGUUGGAUUCUUACACUGAAAGUUUUCGACACUUAGGUAUUGUCCACCCGGUUCCUCCUAGAGUUUUUCCAGUGGCUUUGACAGAUGGUAGCUGCUCCGCUUACAUCAAGUUGGCUUCAAGAUUUAGAGAGACUAGAGGCAUUAUAUCAAACACAUUCGUAGAGUUAGAGACACAUGCUAUCACAUUGUUUUCCAAUGACGACCGAGUCCCUCCAGUGUACCCAGUUGGGCCAGUGAUCGACCUGGAUGAUGGUCAGGCACAUUCCAGCCUAGACCAAGCACAGCGCGACAAGAUCAUCAAAUGGCUUGAUGACCAGCCUCAGAAAUCUGUUGUGUUUUUGUGUUUUGGUAGCAUGGGAAGCUUUAGGGCAGAGCAAGUGAAGAAAAUAGCUUUAGGGCUUGAACAGAGCGGACAAAGGUUUUUAUGGUCCCUGCGCAUGCCGUCACCCAAAGGCACAGUCCCAAGUGAUUGCUCAAAUCUUGAAGAAGUUUUGCCAGAUGGAUUCUUGGAGAGGACCAAUGGGAAGAGAGGGUUGAUAUGUGGGUGGGCCCCACAGGUGGAUAUCCUGGCCCACAGUGCGACCGGAGGGUUCUUGUCACACUGCGGGUGGAACUCGAUCUUGGAGAGCUUGUGGCAUGGCGUCCCUAUUGCGACGUGGCCCAUGUGUGCAGAGCAGCAGCUCAAUGCUUUUAGGAUGUUGAGGGAGUUGGGGAUGGCGUUGGAGAUGAGGCUGGAUUACAUGACCGGCAGCGCUGACGUGGUGGGGGCGGACGAGAUUGAGAGGGCUGUGGUUGGUGUGAUGGAGAAGGAUAGUGAGGUGAGGAAGAAGGUGGAAGAGAUGGGAAAGUUGGCUAGAAAAGCUGUGAAGGAUGGAGGGUCUUCAUUUGCUUCUGCUGGGAGAUUUAUUGAGGAUGUGAUUGGUGAGAGUUGGGGUUUUAAGUAGUAUGGGUUGCUAAUUUUGUAAGUUUAAGAAAUCUUGAAUGUACUAAUAUCUCCAUGUUCUCGUAUGCCGUUUAUGAAUUUAUCAGCAAGUAAUUUAUAUGUUUUCCUUCUACAAUGAUAAAGCAAACGAAACGAGUUUGUAAAUUUGUUAGGGAAGAGGGACUUUGGAGUUUGUGACAUUUGAGUUCCGACGUUGAAUCUCGCCAAUAAAGUAGUUGAAUAAGAUCUCGGAAAAAAAAAAAUGAGAAAAAUUGGAGUUGAAUAAUACUAUGCCUAUAUUAAAAGAUUUUGGUUAUCACAUAUUAAUCAAUGAUAUAAAUGCAUAUACAAGGAUAGAUGAGAAUCAUAUGAGAAAAGAUCAAGAAGCUUCCAGAUUUUUACAAAUUGACAUCUUUUCUUGCAGACCAAGAACUUCAGUUUAUCAUUUACUCAUUUCUUGCUAUCAAAUUAACCAUAACUUCACUACCCCAAAUCAAACCUAUUAAUCUCCUCGAAGAAGAAACGAAAUGAAACCAACCAUCUCAGUAAUGUCAAUUAUUUGCUAGUAACACGGUGUCGACGCUUAAUCCUCUGCGGUUUCAACUAAAUUGAAGAAACAAUGACACAUGUUUGGGUUACAUGAUGCAAAUGAACAAAUUCGGUAUAUCCUGUAUAUCGGUUUCAUCAUGCUUUAAUAGAGAUUCAAACAGAUUCAACUCAAUAUUAACAAACUAACAAACUCUUUGCAUUUGGAUGAUUAAGUUUAAAAUGAGGAUUAAUAUCGUUUUGUUUACGAGGAUUUUUACUGAGUGAACGAAAUAACAUUUUCAUUUUGGUGACUUUGAUCCAACACAGUUGAUUUCACUAAUCCAGACCUAUCUUCCUCUAAAUUCUCUAAACCAUACAAUCCUAGUGCAACCAAACUCGAAUCUCGUCAAUGAUGAGUUAGUUACCAAUUUGUCCUCCAAGUGGGCUUAUAAGUUACAUGCAUUGUGUGGGGCUGGGACUAUAUUGAUUUUUGAUUCACGUACUAGUUUAAUACAUUAAUUACAUUAACAUUGAACAAAAGUUUAUGCAGUGUGGGGGCAUAUGCCCACUCUUGGCCUUAGGUAGGUCCGCCAGUGAGAAAAAUGAAAAUAAUAGUAGGUGAGUAAUGACGUAGGGGAGUAGAAAAUUUUCAUUGUGACGGGAAUACGGAUGGUACACCACGUGUUUUUAUGUAAGUGGUGAGAAAUUUUAUUUUUUGAGAGAUUAAUUUUUUAACACACAUAUCUCACCAUUUGUAUAGUAACACGUAAUGUACCACCUUGUGUAGUGAUUACACUGGAAAAUCUCUGGUACAGAAGGGCCAUAUAAUAUUAACACAUGCAAUCAAUCCUUGUUGUUUAUUUCUGUCCUUUAAUUAUGUAUAUUAUUGUAUUAAUGCGUAAUUCAAAUUAAGCAGUAUAAUAUAAUUUCUCCGGUGUGAGGCAGAUUGUUUGCCCCUGUAUAGAUGCCCUUCUAAUCUUCUUUUAUUUUGUGUGGUCACGGUUAAUUCACGUUCAUAUUUUAUAUUAAUUUUUUUAUAAUGAUAAUAAGACAAAAAAUAAUAAGAAUAUAAAAUAUUGACGUGAUUUAACCGUAACUGCACAAAUAAAAAAAAUAAAAAAGGUAUCUAAACAAAUAGGAGGGUAGACAAUCUUCCUUUUUUGCCCACUCUUGGCGUUAGGUAGGUCCGUCAGUGAGAAAAAUGACAAUAAUAGUACGUGAGCAAUGACGCGAGGGAGGGCCAUAUAAUAUUAAGUUUAACAAAUGCGGUCAAUCCUUUUUCUGUACUCUUUGUCUCCUUUUCACACUGUUUAUGUUAUUUGAUUAUGUAUAUUAUUGUUAUAAUGCGAAAUUAAGCACUAUGAUAUAAACCAGAAAGAGUGAAAGAACAAGUCAGAAAGAUGAAGAAAGUGGAACUAGUGUUCAUCCCAGCACCAGGAGAAGGCCACCUUGUAUCAGCACUGCAGUUCACAAGGCGUUUGAUCGAUCGCGAUGACAGAAUUUUGAUCACCAUUCUUGCCAUCCAGUCACCCUUCCGGACCACUAUAAAUUCAUACACAGAAUCGAUUGCAGCCUCAGAACCCCGAAUCCGAGUCAUUGAUGUCCAAGAACCUCAAGAUCAUCAACCUCCACAAGAGACGCACCAGUCACCAGAAAAAUUCAUCUGUCUUUACAUUGAGGGUCACGUCCCCAAUGUCAAGAAAAUCAUCACC